rnacentral:rRNA from 1 species
UACGAAGGGGCUAGCGUUGCUCGGAAUCACUGGGCGUAAAGGGUGCGUAGGCGGGUCUUUAAGUCAGGGUGAAAUCCUGGAGCUCAACUCCAGAACUGCCUUUGAUACUGAAGAUCUUGAGUUCGGGAGAGGUGAGUGGAACUGCGAGUGUAGAGGUGAAAUUCGUAGAUAUUCGCAAGAACACCAGUGGCGAAGGCGGCUCACUGGCCCGAUACUGACGCUGAGGCACGAAAGCGUGGGAGCAACAGGG